rnacentral:rRNA from 1 species
UACGGAAGGCAGCAGUGGGGAAUAUUGCACAAUGGGCGAAAGCCUGAUGCAGCUAUGCCGCGUGUAUGAAGAAGGCCUUAGGGUUGUAAAGUACUUUCAUCGGGGAGGAAAAACAAAACUAAUAAUUUUAUUUCUUGACGUUACCCGAAAAAGAAGCACCGGCUAACUCCGUGCCAGCAGCCGCGGUAAUACGGAGGGUGCUAGCGUUAAUCAGAAUUACUGGGCGUAAAGAGCACGUAGGUGGUUUUUUUAAGUCAGAUGUGAAAUUCCCUGGGCUUAACCUAGGAACUGCAUUUUGAAACUGAAAUACUAGAGUAUCGUAGAGGGAGGUAGAAUUCUAGGUGUAGCGGUGAAAUGCGUAGAUAUCUGGAGGAAUACCUGUGGCGAAAGCGGCCUCCUAAACGAAUACUGACACUGAGGUGCGAAAAGCGUGGGGAGCAAACAGGGAUUAGAUACC